CCAGCGCUGGGCCGGUUAAGGAAGAGGUCGGCGCCCUCCUGCAGAUGUGCGGGGAUGCGCGCCCGCCGCAACGUGAGGCUCAUAGGCCACACGCAACUCUGAGCAUUGGCCAGGACCUGUAGUAGCCAACAGGACACUUAAUAACUGAUGUAUAGGUGCGCACUGUGUGUCCAGAGCUUUACGUUAACCACCUCACUGUGUCAUCUCGCUGAGGUUGUGUGGUUUACUAUUACUGUUAUUAGCGCAUUUUUAAGCGGGAAACCUGAGGCAUGAGGAGGGUCAGUCCUCGACCUUGUCCCCCCAAAUUGCUCCGUCUCUGAGUCCAGACUCUGAAGUUCGGCUCUGCCUGCCACCUUAAGUUAUCCCAUGUGGCCUUACCGUCAGCCUAGUCUUUGACUGCAGGGAGACCUCUCUUCCUGAAGAAGACGCCUCUUUUCAUCCAUUCACUCUGGAAAUGAUUCAACGUCUGCCUGCUGCUGAUGCUUUGCUCUCCACCAGGGGUUUUCGAAGUGUGCUUCCCCGUUCCCCCCGAGCCUAUAGCAUCAGCAUCAGGGAACUUGUCACUAACGCACAUUAUUGGGCCCCAACCCAGAACUACUGAAUCAGCAACUUGGGGUGAGGGCCGGUCGCAGUGGCUCACGCCUGUAAUCCCAACACUUUGGGAAGCAGAGGAGGGUGGAUCACCUGAGGUAAGGAGUUGAGGACCAGCCUGGCUAACAUGGUGAAACCCUGUCUCUACUAAAAAUAGAAAAAUUAGCCAGAUGUGGUGGCGUGUGCCCAUAAUCCUAGCUACUCGGGAGACUGAGGCAGGAGACUCGCUUGAACCCAAGAGGCGGAGGUUGCAGUGAGCCAAGAUUGCACCACUGCACUCUGGCCUGGGCGGCAGAGUGAGACUCCGUCUCAAAAAAAAAAAAAAAAAAAAAAAGGAACUCAGGGUGAGGCCCAGCCGGCUGUGGUUUUAUGAGCUCUUCAGGGGAUACUGAUGCGGGAUCAAAUUUGAGAAGCACUGGUCUAGGUCUUAGAUCCUCUUGGUUCAGUUUCCUCAUUGGAUCUCAGGAAUGUUCAGCUACACUCUCAGGGCAACUUCUUACUUCACUUGACCUUCCAAGACCUCUCGUUCUGUCAAACCCCAAUUUUGGAUCAACCCAGGCAUGCUUCCCUCAUGUGUUCCCAAGCUGGUCAGAGUAGUCUACACUACUAUCUGCUUCAACUGCUAGUAACGUCUAAGCCUUCAGCAGUUUUGCUUAUGAAACUGCUUCACUGAAGUUCUCCACCACCAAGUAGUCAGCUGGCAUCGGAAUUCGGCUUGUGUCAAAUGGAACUCAACAUCUUCCUCUUCAGGACAUCCCCUAUUUUCAUCCUCCCAGUGA
rnacentral:lncRNA from 1 species